rnacentral:rRNA from 1 species
GAUGAACGCUGGCGGCGUGCCUAAUACAUGCAAGUCGAGCGAACGGACGAGAAGCUUGCUUCUCUGAUGUUAGCGGCGGACGGGUGAGUAACACGUGGAUAACCUACCUAUAAGACUGGGAUAACUUCGGGAAACCGGAGCUAAUACCGGAUAAUAUUUUGAACCGCAUGGUUCAAAAGUGAAAGACGGUCUUGCUGUCACUUAUAGAUGGAUCCGCGCUGCAUUAGCUAGUUGGUAAGGUAACGGCUUACCAAGGCAACGAUGCAUAGCCGACCUGAGAGGGUGAUCGGCCACACUGGAACGGGGACACGGUCCAAACUCCUACGGGAGGAAGCGGUGGGGAAUCUUCCGCAAGGGGCGAAAGCCUGACGGAGCAACGCCGCGUGGGUGAUGAAGUUCUUCGGAUCGUAAAACUCUGUUAUUAGGGAAGAACAUAUGUGUAAGUAACUGUGCACAUCUUGACGGUACCUAAUCAGAAAGCCACGGCUAACUACGU